rnacentral:rRNA from 1 species
AUUGAACGCUGGCGGCAGGCCUAACACAUGCAAGUCGAACGCGGCGCGGACGUGUGAGUUAUGUCUGGGAAAGUGCCUGAUGGAGGGGGAUAACCACUGGAAACGGUCGCUAAUACCGCAUACCAUCGGAUGUGCCGAGAUGGGAUUAGCUAGUAGGGGGGGUAAAGGCUCCCCUAGGCGACGAUCCCUAGCUGGUCUGAGAGGAUGACCAGCCACACUGGAACUGAGACACGGUCCAGACUCCUACGGGAGGCAGCAGUGGGGAAUAUUGCACAAUGGGCGCAAGCCUGAUGCACCCAUGCCGCGUGUAUGAAGAAGGCCUUCGGGUUGUAAAGUACUUUCAGCGGGGAGGCGUUACCCGCAGAAGAAGCACCGGCUAACUCCGUGCCAGCAGCCGCGGUAAUAC